CAAGCGUUAGGGCUGCUGCGUUUGAAAAAAUCGGUGUAAUACAAUUCUGCUUCUCCUGGUAGGGAUCCCUUUACAGAAGGGAUCAUCAUAACAGUCUUGCAUCAGUGAGGAUCAUUUGAAGGAGAAAAGUUGAAUAAGGCAUGAACAACCUUUUCAGUAGGAGGAUGAAGAUUGUGUUUGUGGUUGUAUGGACACAAUUUACAAAAAGGUCUCAUUGAAGUCAACAUCCCAAGGUCAUCUGCCUCAACAUGGAAAUCUCAAUCAGAACGUGACUCUGGUGAUCAUGACAGUCCUCCGUUUAUUUAACCUUUAUCACCACGGCGACAAAAUGAGAGACACUCGUUUUGACACAGGAGGCACACGGGAUGACAUGUGCAACCACGACAACUUCUGUAAACAUGCUGCCAAAACCCGAAGAGGAGAGUGCCACAUUAAAAAGCCGACAGAGCAGUUGGUGGCCUGGCAUCAUGUCAUCUUGUGAAAAUUGGCGUUUGAACGGGACUUUACUGGCCAGGCCCUGUCAGUCCCGGGAUCAGACGGAGAGACAGGGUGCUAAUGGGAGUGGAUGCACUGCUAGCCCACCGUCUUAUCACUGCUGCCAUCUGUGACCCGAGCCGCAGCCUAUUUUCAAAGCCGGCCCAUCCGUUUUCAACUCGUGUCACGCGUUUGUGUGCAUCCUGGCUGCUGUGGGUGGGCACCCGUUUUAUAACUGUGCAUCUUAGCUAAUUUCAGUAAUGUGGUUUUGUGCCCAUUGCCUGACAGUUUAAUGGGCCUUAUUUAUGCCACCCUUUCUCAUAAAACGGCAGCGGAAGUUGCAGUGCACAGAAAAACAGGGAUAUGAAUGGGACCACACUUUGCUAUAUGAUAUCUAUUGUUUUAAUUAAGUGAAAGCAGUUUUGACAUUUAUUGGAUUCCAAGUUACUUGUUAAUGACACCAGGAAGCAUGGUAG
ensembl:lncRNA